rnacentral:rRNA from 1 species
GACGAACGCUGGCGGCGUGCUUAGCACAUGCAAGUCGAACGCUGAAGCUCAGCUUUUGUUGGGUGGAUGAGUGGCGAACGGGUGAGUAACACGUGAGUAACCUGCCUCCUUCUUUGGGAUAACGCCCGGAAACGGGUGCUAAUACUGGAUAUUCACUGGUCUUCGCAUGGGGGUUGGUGGAAAGGGUUUUUCUGGUGGGGGAUGGGCUCGCGGCCUAUCAGCUUGUUGGUGGGGUGAUGGCCUACCAAGGCUUUGACGGGUAGCCGGCCUGAGAGGGUGACCGGUCACAUUGGGACUGAGAUACGGCCCAGACUCCUACGGGAGGCAGCAGUGGGGAAUAUUGCACAAUGGGCGCAAGCCUGAUGCAGCGACGCCGCGUGAGGGAUGGAGGCCUUCGGGUUGUGAACCUCUUUCGCUCAUGGUCAAGCCGCAACAAUGGUUGUGGUGAGGGUAGUGGGUAAAGAAGCGCCGGCUAACUACGUGC